CAAUAGCGUAUACUAAAGUUGUUGCAGUUAAAAAGCUCGUAGUUGGAUUUCUGGCUCGGCAGGCCUAGCCCGAGGACCUGGUGUCCUUGUGAGCUGGCGCCCGCCGGCCAUCCUUCAGGAGAGUGUCUCUGCCCUUGAUUGGGUUGGGGGCAGGAUCCUGAUCGUUUACUUUGAAAAAAUUAGAGUGUUCAAAGCAGGCGUGUGCUGUGAAUACAUUAGCAUGGAAUAAUAAGAUAGGACUUCGGCCCUAUUUUGUUGGUUCUGGAGCUGAGGUAAUGAUUGAUAGGGAUAGUUGGGGGUGCUCGUAUUCAACGGCCAGAGGUGAAAUUCUUGGAUUCGUUGAAGACGAACUUAUGCGAAAGCAUUCACCAAGGAUGUCUUCGUUAA
rnacentral:rRNA from 1 species